AUUGAACGCUGGCGGCAUGCCUUACACAUGCAAGUCGAACGGCAGCACGGGAGCAAUCCUGGUGGCGAGUGGCGAACGGGUGAGUAAUACAUCGGAACGUACCCAGUUGUGGGGGAUAGCUCGGCGAAAGCCGGAUUAAUACCGCAUACGACCUGAGGGUGAAAGCGGGGGAUCGCAAGACCUCGCGCAGUUGGAGCGGCCGAUGUCAGAUUAGCUAGUUGGUGGGGUAAAAGCCUACCAAGGCGACGAUCUGUAGCUGGUCUGAGAGGACGACCAGCCACACUGGGACUGAGACACGGCCCAGACUCCUACGGGAGGCAGCAGUGGGGAAUUUUGGACAAUGGGCGCAAGCCCGAUCCAGCCAUGCCGCGUGCGGGAAGAAGGCCUUCGGGUUGUAAACCGCUUUUGUCAGGGAAGAAACGGUCUGUGUUAAUACCUCAGACUAAUGACGGUACCUGGAGAAUAAGCACCGGCUAACUACGUGCCAGCAGCCGCGGUAAUACGUAGGGUGCAAGCGUUAAUCGGAAUUACUGGGCGUAAAGCGUGCGCAGGCGGCUAUGCAGGACAGAUGUGAAAUCCCCGGGCUCAACCUGGGAACUGCAUUUGUGACUGCAUGGCUAGAGUACGGUAGAGGGGGAUGGAAUUCCGCGUGUAGCAGUGAAAUGCGUAGAUAUGCGGAGGAACACCGAUGGCGAAGGCAAUCCCCUGGACCUGUACUGACGCUCAUGCACGAAAGCGUGGGGAGCAAACAGGAUUAGAUACCCUGGUAGUCCACGCCCUAAACGAUGUCAACUGGUUGUUGGGAGGGUUUCUUCUCAGUAACGUAGCUAACGCGUGAAGUUGACCGCCUGGGGAGUACGGCCGCAAGGUUGAAACUCAAAGGAAUUGACGGGGACCUGCACAAGCGGUGGAUGAUGUGGUUUGAUUCGAUGCAACGCGAAAAACCUUACCUACCCUUGACAUGCCAGGAACUUGCCAGAGAUGGCUUGGUGCUCGAAAGAGAGCCUGGACACAGGUGCUGCAUGGCCGUCGUCAGCUCGUGUCGUGAGAUGUUGGGUUAAGUCCCGCAACGAGCGCAACCCUUAUCAUUAGUUGCUACGCAAGGGCACUCUAAUGAGACUGCCGGCGACAGACCGGAGGAAGGUGGGGAUGACGUCAGGUCAUCAUGGCCCUUAUGGGUAGGGCUACACACGUCAUACAAUGGCCGGUACAGAGGGCUGCCAACCCGCGAGGGGGAGCUAAUCUCAGAAAACCGGUCGUAGUCCGGAUCGCAGUCUGCAACUCGACUGCGUGAAGUCGGAAUCGCUAGUAAUCGCGGAUCAGCUUGCCGCGGUGAAUACGUUCCCGGGUCUUGUACACACCGCCCGUCACACCAUGGGAGCGGGUUCUGCCAGAAGUAGUUAGCCUAACCGCAAGGAGGGCGAUUACCACGGCAGGGUUCGUGACUUGGGGUGAAGUCGUAACAAGGUAGCCGUAUCGGAAGG
rnacentral:rRNA from 1 species